AGGAGGAACAACCACAGUGGUGACGGCCAGCUCUCCAGCCCUGGAGUCAGCUCCUGCAGUAACUAUGGAGCUCUCAGUGCAGGGGCCUGGAUGCUCCAGGGACGG
rnacentral:pre_miRNA from 1 species